CUGGCUCAGAUUGAACGCUGGCGGCAGGCCUAACACAUGCAAGUCGAGCGGUAGAGAGAAGCUUGCUUCUCUUGAGAGCGGCGGACGGGUGAGUAAUGCCUAGGAAUCUGCCUGGUAGUGGGGGAUAACGCUCGGAAACGGACGCUAAUACCGCAUACGUCCUACGGGAGAAAGCAGGGGACCUUCGGGCCUUGCGCUAUCAGAUGAGCCUAGGUCGGAUUAGCUAGUUGGUGAGGUAAUGGCUCACCAAGGCGACGAUCCGUAACUGGUCUGAGAGGAUGAUCAGUCACACUGGAACUGAGACACGGUCCAGACUCCUACGGGAGGCAGCAGUGGGGAAUAUUGGACAAUGGGCGAAAGCCUGAUCCAGCCAUGCCGCGUGUGUGAAGAAGGUCUUCGGAUUGUAAAGCACUUUAAGUUGGGAGGAAGGGCAGUUACCUAAUACGUAUCUGUUUUGACGUACCGACAG
rnacentral:rRNA from 1 species